CCGGACCCUUGAGCCUCUCUGCCCCAUGCGCCCUGGAGCGCGGACUGAGCCGAGCGGCGGUGGCAAGCUUGGCACAGGAGCACGCACCCCUCGCAACACUGCAGCCGCUUCCCAGCCUCCUUCCCCAAGCUGAGUCCCUUCUCCUCUCCCACCCCCACCCGCCCAGGGGGAGGGGGCACCCUCCUGUCACCCUCAGCGUGUGCCUCCAGAUCUUUCAGACCUGGACUAACAGUCUAUGGUACACAAGAGAGCCGUGAACGCUACCCUCUGCCACCCAAACCAAAGGGGAGCCGUGCCGCCGCAGGCUGCCCAAUGCCUCGGUUUGCUCCAUAAACAAAACUAGCGAUCAGGAAGAAGCAGGGUGGACUGAGGCGGGAUCGUUUGUCCAGGGAAAAGCCAGGGGAGCUGCACAGCAGAGCGGCUCUGUUUGGAGAGCGCAGAGUUCCCACUGCUUCCCCCAGCCGCCGGGGCCAGACGUGAAAUCGCGGCUGGCGGGGAAGGUACCCCUAUGGACUUCAGAAGAACCUAGUUUGAGAACCACUGUGCUAGUUACAGCAAAUCAUAGACUAGCUCCAAG
rnacentral:lncRNA from 1 species